rnacentral:sRNA from 1 species
GCCUGGCGCAAUGGCACACGCCUGUAAUCCCAGCAGCUCAGGAGGCUGAGAUAGGAGGAUUGCGAGUUCAAAGUUAGCCUCAGCAAUGGUGAGGCUGUUAAACAACUUGGUGAGACCCUGUCUCUA